rnacentral:rRNA from 1 species
GUCUACGGCCAUACCACCCUGAAUGUGCCUGAUCUCGUCUGAUUCUUGGAAGCUAAGCAGGGCCGGGCCUGGUUAGUACUUGGAUAGGAAAUAUUUGGUACAGUGUCUU